rnacentral:rRNA from 1 species
GGAUUAGAUACCCGGGUAGUCCACGCCGUAAACGAUGGAUACUAGCUGUUGGAGGUAUCGACCCCUUCAGUAGCGAAGCUAACGCGUUAAGUAUCCCGCCUGUGGAGUACGGUCGCAAGACUAAAACAUAAAGGAAUUGACGGGGAGCCGCACAAGCGGUGGAUUAUGUUCUUUAAUUCGAUGAUAACCGAUGAACCUUACCAGGGUUUGACAUCCUUGGAAUUUUGCCGAAAGGCGAGAGUGCUUUAUUGAACCAAGUGACAGGUGUUGCAUGGCCGUCGUCAGCUCGUGUCGUGAGAUGUUUGGUUAAGUCCAUCAACGAGCGCAACCCUUGUGAAUAGUUGGAUUUUUCUAUUCAGACUGCCCCGGUAACGGGGAGGAAGGAGGGGAUGAU